CUGCUAUUUGACAUGUUUUGUUAUCUGACUUGCAAGUUCUGAUAGUUUUUGGAAGCCACUGUUGUUUACCUUAGCAGUCAGCCAUGACACAGCUUCAAUGGCUGCAGUCCAAUCCCUGCAGGACAAACUGUUUUGAACAAAACAGGAUUCGUACCCUUGCAGAGCAUGGGAGGUUCUGUCUGCUGCUAUCUUAAAUGUUUGGUUUAACAGCGCUUAAGUGUCUUUUACAUAAAUGAUUUAAUUUUUUUUUCAAUCCAAACCCAUCAGCUAUCAUUUCAUGGUGAUAUAUCUCUCCGGGAACAUUGGCCAGCCAUCAUUCGGCUUUCCAUUGAAGUCAGUGGUUAGUGUUAAAUGACCUCCAGCCAAGGUUUCUUUUUCAGUGGGUUGUGUUGUUCAUAGUCCAAUUAGCAUUUGAGAAUCAAGCUUUUGUUCGGAUCAAAUGAAGAGCAAAUUUAACCUUCCACAAAAUUCUGCAAAAUAAAAAAGUCUGCAAAAUAAAAGCUGUCAUUUAUGGCCUAAUGCAACACCCCGUCAUCUGUUUUUGGUGAGUUUCAGUUUUACUGUGAACAGUUAGUUAAAGGUGGGGUAGGCAGGAUCUGAGGAAGUGCCGGUUUUUGGGAGGAAUCUUGAAUGUAAACUCUAACCCUCCCAACCAGUUUUCCCCUCAGCUCCUCCUCCCCCCUCAGUCUCUGCUCCAGCAAGCCCCGCCCACAAACAGACGCUCCUGCUCGCUCAUAUCGUUUCAAUUAAAUUCAGAUAUAAUGCAGAUAAAUACUU